UGGGGCUUUCGACACGAUAGGUCGCUGGA
rnacentral:piRNA from 1 species